rnacentral:rRNA from 1 species
UACAGAGGGUGCGAGCGUUAAUCGGAAUUACUGGGCGUAAAGCGUGCGUAGCCGGUUUUGUAAGUCGGAUGUGAAAUCCCCGGGCUCAACCUGGGAAUUGCAUUCGAGACUGCAAGGCUUGGGUGCGGAAGAGGGAAGCGGAAUUUCCGGUGUAGCGGUGAAAUGCGUAGAUAUCGGAAGGAACAUCAGUGGCGAAAGCGGCUUCCUGGUCCAGCACCGACGUUCAGGCACGAAAGCGUGGGGAGCAAACAGG